GACGAACGCUGGCGGCGUGCUUAACACAUGCAAGUCGAACGGAAAGGCCCAGCUUGCUGGGUACUCUAGUGGCGAACGGGUGAGUAACACGUGGGUGAUCUGCCCUGGACUCUGGGAUAAGCCUGGUAAACUGGGUCUAAUACCGGAUAUGACCUUACAUCGCAUGGUGUUUGGUUGAAAGCUUUUGCGGUUCUGGAUGGGCCCGCGGCCUAUCAGCUUGUUGGUGGGGUAAUGGCGUACCAAGGCGACGACGGGUAGCCGACCUGAGAGGGUGAUCGGCCACACUGGGACUGAGACACGGCCCAGACUCCUACGGGAGGCAGCAGUGGGGAAUAUUGCACAAUGGGCGCAAGCCUGAUGCAGCAACGCCGCGUGAGGGAUGACGGCCUUCGGGUUGUAAACCUCUUUCACCAGGGACGAAGCGUGAGUGACGGUACCUGGAGAAGAAGCACCGGCUAACUACGUG
rnacentral:rRNA from 1 species